rnacentral:rRNA from 1 species
UACAGAGGGUGCGAGCGUUAAUCGGAAUUACUGGGCGUAAAGGGCGCGUAGGCGGUCAGCACAAGUCAGUUGUGAAAUCUCCGGGCUUAACUCGGAAAGGUCAACUGAUACUGUGCGACUAGAGUGCGGAAGGGGCAACUGGAAUUCUUGGUGUAGCGGUGAAAUGCGUAGAUAUCAAGAGGAACACCUGCGGCGAAGGCGGGUUGCUGGGCCGACACUGACGCUGAGGCGCGAAAGCCAGGGGAGCAAACGGG